rnacentral:rRNA from 1 species
AACGAACGCUGGCGGCAGGCCUAACACAUGCAAGUCGAACGCCCCGCAAGGGGAGUGGCAGACGGGUGAGUAACACGUGGGAACAUACCCUUUGGUUCGGAAUAACUCAGGGAAACUUGAGCUAAUACCGGAUAAGCGCGAGAGCGGAAAGAUUUAUCGCCGAAGGAUUGGCCCGCGUCCGAUUAGCUAGUUGGUGAGGUAAUGGCUCACCAAGGCGACGAUCGGUAGCUGGUCUGAGAGGAUGAUCAGCCACAUUGGGACUGAGACACGGCCCAAACUCCUACGGGAGGCAGCAGUGGGGAAUAUUGGACAAUGGGCGCAAGCCUGAUCCAGCCAUGCCGCGUGAGUGAUGAAGGCCCUAGGGUUGUAAAGCUCUUUCGCCAGGGACGAUAAUG